AACCCUCGGACAGUUCAUGAUCUUGUGAGCCUUGUUCAGACUCACUCCCCUAGCAUUGUUUUUCUUUGUGAGACUAGACAGUCUAAGAAUAAAAUGAGCAGGCUUCGAGCCCGCUUAGGUUUGAGAGGUUUUGAUGGUCUUGAUAGUGUUGGUCUUAGUGGAGGUCUUGCUUUGUACUGGCAUGAGUCGUUGAGUGUGGAUGUUAAAACAAUAAAUGAAUGUUAA
rnacentral:rRNA from 1 species